GAAUGCGGCCAUAAAGACUACCUUCGGGUUCAGGGCGUCUCGGCUUAGGCGUUGUCACUGGGGAGAWCCCGCUUCGGGUCUGUCCAGGGCAAGCUCGCCGAGGCUUCCGCACUCCCGUUKGUAGUCCGCCAACGGCGGUCACUCGCGGUCCAACAGGGUCGUGGGGUUAGGUGCCUCCGGAGUCGGCAUCCUUUGGGUUGUCGAAGCGGGAGAACUUAGAGCCCUCGGCUCGGAGAUUGCGUGUGUCCGAGGAGCGCUUGCGACCAGUUCGCACGGUGUAGCGCAGGCCCUCCUGGGCCGGGUCGCUCUUGGGCCUGCGUGCUUCGCGGCGUGCUACUGCAUGCAGUGGCCGUUGACGAUAACGCGCGCUCGCCCGGGAKGUCGGCCACGAUGU
rnacentral:rRNA from 1 species